AUCAAUUCUAAUGAGACCUACACAGAUUAACUUUGCUGCUGCACUUCAUCAGAAAUAUCCCAGUUGAGUUAACACCACUGU
rnacentral:misc_RNA from 1 species